CACGGGAGCCCGUAAGGCUCUAGUGGCGCAAGGGUGAGUAAUGUAUCGCUAACGUACCCUGGACACUGGGAUAGCUGCCCGAAAGGGCAGGUAAUACCAGAUGAAAUAUCCAUCUCGCAUGAGUGUGGAUCUCAAAGGAGCAAUCCGGUCUGGGCGCGGGCGAUAUCGUAUCAGCUAGUUGGUGAGGUAACGGCUCACCAAGGCGACGACGCGUAGCCGGACUGAGAGGUCGGUCGGCCACAUCGGGACUGAGACACUGCCCGGACUCCUACGGGGGGCUGCAGUAACGAAUCUUCCCCAAUGGGCGCAAGCCUGAGGGAGCGACGCCGCGUGGAGGAUGAAGUCCUUCGGGAUGUAAACUCCUGUCAGGGGUUACCAAGAUACUGAGGAGCCCCAAAGGAAGAGGCGGCUAACUCUGUGCCAGCAGCCGCGGUAAGACAGAGGCCUCGAGCGUUAGGCGGGAAUCACUGGGCUUAAAGCGUGUGUAGGCGGAUCGUUAAGUGCCUUGUGAAAAUCCCACGGCUUAACUGUGGAACGGCUGGGCAUACUGGCGGUCUUGAGCCAUCUAGGGGCGACUGGAACAAACGGUGGAGCGGUGAAUGCGUAAAUUUCGUUUGGAACGCCAAAGGUGAAAACAGGUCGCUGGGGGAUGAGCUGACGCUGAGACCCAAAAGCCAGGGGAAGCAAACGGGAUUAAAU
rnacentral:rRNA from 1 species